UACGUUCCCGGGCCUUGUACACACCGCCCGUCACACCAUGAGAGUUGGUAACACCCGAAGUCCGUGAGGUAACCGUAAGGAGCCAGCGGCCGAAGGUGGGAUUGAUGAUUGGGGUGAAGUCGUAACAAGGUAGCCGUAGGAGAACCUGCGGCUGGAUCACCUCCUUUCUAGGGAG
rnacentral:rRNA from 1 species